CAACUUAGGGAGCCCAAUGGCCCAAACUCGAGCCUGGGGAACCCUAGCUCCCCGAUGCGGGUGGGAGUGGAACCCCACUGGAGUGGUAACUUUAGGUCAGUGGUCGACCACUUUAGUUAGCGGGAGCCCCGCUGGCCUGGGCAACUUUGAGAACUAGGAUGCUGGAAAUUAAAGAACUCUGUAGAAGAUGGUAGUUGCUUUGCAUCCAAUAACCUGGGUUAUGGUAGAGCAUAUCUUAUACUGUCACAGACUUACAGGGAAAUGAUGGUUAAUUCCUGAUUAAGACACCCAUAAUAUUUUUGCAUAUGUGGCUACUCGAUGCUGCAUUGCAAUGGAUCAAGAUUGAUCAUUACUUUUGAUGCAUGUAACAUGGUUUCGGGUCCAAUGAUCCAUUGACAAAAUGUCCAAUGAAUAUAAUCCAUCUGUCUUAUUCUGAUGCUGUGGAAUAUAAUGUGCACUGAUGCCAAAAGAAGUCAUCACUGAGCUAGAUGAGGAGCUUUCUCGAGAUCUUUUCUGGAUUUGGGUGAUUAUUGGUUUGAUAAUUAACAGAUCUUUAUCAUCAAAUGAUGCUGCUUAUGAUUAUUCCAAGAAAUGUGGCACAAAACUAUGCUACAACGAAAUAGGGGAUCUUGAUAAAGAGAAAACAUAUUUGCCAAAUUUCCCACCGGGUAGAAAGUUCUGGUUUCAAACCCCACAACAAGGCAUGUUAACUAUAGCCUAUGUUGUGACAACCCCAGCCAAGUUGGUCAGGGCGUCAGGCUAUUAGCUUGGUAACCACAAGGUUCUAAGUUCAACCCUCCCAGUGGGAGCCUUCUUGGUUUGAGUUGAUCAACUGCCUUAGUUUGAUCUCUUAAAGGUAGAUACACAUUUUUAAUGUGGAAGGGGAACUUGAAGAUUGCCACUGAAUAUGAAUCUUCAGUUUGCUUUUGAAUUAUUGAGAAUCAAAUCAAAAAGGGAGAAUAGAUAUUGGCUUCAUUGAGCAUUAUGAGGAAUCGAUUCCCACAUGGUAAAUUGCUUGUAACUUUUUUCCAGUUUGGAACUGAACCAUGUCUACCUAUACUACAUAAGCCUACUCAAAUGGAGAUUGUCUGUGCAGGAUAACACCGAUGUUACACACACACUUGGUGAAUGCGAGUGUGCACAUCCAUAUCAUCUUUACGUGGCUAGCAUCCAUCUUACUGGCAGAUGGAGAAACCAAGACGGUGAAUGAACCAAGAAGGAGAUUGGAUGUGCGCCGCAUGUCAACACAUAAAUUUUAAGAAACGAGAUGCAUGCCAACGAUGCAAUUGUCCUAAGUAUGCUUCUGAAGCUGAUGCGGCUUUAUAUGGGCGUAAUAAAUCAGAGGUCUUGCCCGGGGACUGGUACUGCAAUGCCUGUUGUGCUCACAACUAUGCAAGCCGAACAAACUGCUACAGAUGUGGAGCCUCGAAAAUUGGCUAUUAUGGCCUUGGGGCUGGAAUGAUAACACCGGGAAGUUAUGGAUAUGAUGCAAGUGUCCCUCCGGGAUAUAAGAAAGGUGACUGGAUUUGCAACAGACUUGGAUGUGGUUGGCACAAUUAUGCCAGCAGAACGGAAUGUUAUAAAUGCAGGAAUCCUCGGGAUUUCAGUGAGCCAUCAUCCAUGUGAUUCGGGAGAUGAUCUCUAAAGAAAGUAAUUAAGGAAGAGAGGCAUAAUAUCCUAGAAUUACUAAGAAUCCAAAAACCUUCAAAAUCAUUUCUUUCUUUUCUAUUUUCUCAUGUAUCUCUUGUCUUUUCUCAGUUGAUCAAAUAAUCUUUGACCAAUUUGCACUAGGAUGGUUUCUAACUAUAUUGUUGUAUGGUGCAAAGAAAGUCACUUGAAUGAAAUCCCUUUAGAUUUUCCA